CCGUCCACCGAACGGUCGGCAGGCGAUCCGCGUCGUUCGCGCUGGGUGGUAUGGUUCCCCAGAGGCCGGUUCUUGUGCUGCCUACCCCUUCAGGGGAAGCGGGCCACUUGAUGUAAGCCUCCAUCCGGCGCCCUCCAACGGGCGCAGGAGGACAACGGAGCACCCCCCGCGUUCCACCGAGCCUCCUUCGGUCGGGGGGCGCGGGGGGACGUGGGAUGCUUUCGGACCCAGCGAACCCCGGGGGGGAGGACUCACGUCCCAGUCCCGACAGAAGCUUCGAUAUAAUGCUGACGUCCGCUCCCGCCCCCCGACCGCCCCGGCGGCGUGGGGGCGAGGCGCGGCGUCGCGGAGGAAUGCUACCU
rnacentral:misc_RNA from 1 species